UGGAAAGGGCAUGGAGAAGGCCCUUAGAAUGGAUUGAGCUACAUGUUUUAAAUCCUGGCCAGAUUGAAGAUCCUAUAACUUUUAACUUGCUAAGUGCCUUGGGUAUACAACAUACUUGUAUAAAAAUAAUAGACAAAGUAGCUCUUAUUUCAAAACCCACAAUUGCCAGUAUAUGAAA